rnacentral:lncRNA from 1 species
UUCUCUUUUUUUCCUUUUGCCCCUUGAGGGGGAUUGCUAAUGAAUGAGGAGUAGUUCUUGCUUCUGUUUUGCUUUUUAGGGGGAGCUUAUGUGUUUUCUCUUCUAGCUUAAUGAUGACACGCUUACUUAGUGGUAGUUCAUGUCUGUUGUUUGGUUGUUGUGAAUUCAAACAAUAUAUAUCUUGACAUCAUGUCCGGGAGAAUUUAUUUUUCUCUGCAAAAAGUUUGUAUUGUGAGAGUUUAUUUCUCUAUGAUGUGACAUUCUCUAUGAGGCUGGUUUU